AAAAAACCCAAAACCAAAAUAAAAACAGGAAAGAAAAGCUAGGUAAUUCAAUUUCAUUCUAAAUAUUGACAAACAAAAUUCACAGAAUUUAACAAGUAUUUAGAAAUAUUUUGGUUUCCUUGACCAGAUGCUCAAAUCUGUAUUUACUGGACAACUGAAACAUCUAACAGAAAUAUAAUGCCUGCAUCUAGUCUAAAUAGCUAACAUCAAAUUCCACUCCUGACCCUUUCCUGCUUUCCUAUUAUUGGACUUCUUUUGAAGCAACUUCUCUAAUUAAGAAAUCCUGGUUUUUUAAUGUCUGAUCCUCUACUAAAAUUUUACUUGCCGGUCAUUCAGCAUAUAAACUUGCAUUUUUUCCCUUUGGCUUUGCAGAAUAAAUUUUCAAUAUUUUUUAGUACUCAAAAAUAACAAAAAAAGGCUCUCAAAUUUAAAACAGUUUUGCAUGUUGUAUAUCUUUUGUCUCUUUUGUUUGUUGUAGAAUAUCCUGUUCUUUUCUUUCAGCCUUUCCUAGAUCCACUCCAUGCCCCACAGAACAUCCAAGGAAUUGUUUCCUACUUGAGAGCAGUCUGUCCUGCACCUCCUUUUAUAAGCAGAAAGCACCUCUAUUCUCUGAAAACUUAUGGUACACUCUGUUCUCUGCAACCACGAGUGUGAGAAAUAAUCUUACUUUUUUAAUAUGAAAAACAUCCAAGUCACAAGAUAUACUGAUAAAUCUCUCCUCUAAAAACAACCAUUUCUUCCAUGUUGCCAAGGAAAUGAGUACACAGUUAAUCACAACCAACAACACACAGUCCUCUCCACCUUCUCUAUUUCUGUCCUUCAGUCUGUCAACCCUCCAGACAAGAAGCUUCUUACUGCAUUUUUGUACAAAUUUGGGGGAUGAAACAAAAUAAUUAAGAAAAAGCCUCUAUAUUCUGCGUCAGGGCAUCCUACAAUAGGGGAUCUAAACUGAGAGACACAGGACAUGCUGGUGACUGAGUGAGGCUGUGGGCCUGAGAAACUGGAGCCAGGAGUUGCACAGGCACCCGAAGUGCCCAGGUGUACCUGUUUGUCUGGAGGACCUUGAAGAUGCUACUGCAUCUGGGGUCUGACUGUGGGCUCUCUAAACUAUGUGGUCUCACUCUGACACUAAAAGGCUCUUAUUGCCUAAGCCAAGCACCUUUCAUCAGUGCCAUUCCCAACACCAAGCCUGAUAUAGCACUUGGUGGUCAAGGUGAAAAACUUGCCCUUACUUCUUUGAAAGCCUGUCUAGGAUAUUGAUGAUGACUGACCUUGAAAGAUCUGUAAAAUAUCCUUGUCUGAGGAAUCAUGGUUUUAUGUGGAAGAGGUUUUACAGAGACUUCUCUGAGCCAGAAAGAAGUUUGAUAAGAGGAUCCAUGUUUACCCCUGAAAGAAUUUUCUAGCAAGCUCAUUGACAUAGAAACCAAGAAAAAGAGAAGGAUAAAUAAGAAAAACCUGCAACUGCCUAUUCCAAUAAACACUUUGUCUUUUGUGACCAAUGAAUAAAGUGUAAAUUUAUGAGUUUUGUAAGAAUAUAUAAAAGCAUCUAUGCUACAAU